rnacentral:rRNA from 1 species
UACGUAGGCAGCAAGCGUUGUUCGGAGUUACUGGGCGUAAAGAGUAUGUAGGCGGUUGGGUAAGUUUGGUGUGAAAUCUCCCGGCUUAACUGGGAGGGGCCGUGCGAAACUGCCGGGCUUGAGGUCGGAAGGGGAAAGUGGAAUUCCGGGUGUAGUGGUGGAAUACGUAGAUAUCCGGAGGAACACCAGCGGCGAAGGCGGCUUUCUGGUCCGAUACUGACGCUGAGGUGCGAAAGCGUGGGGAGCGAUCCGG